UCCGUACAACAUAACAUUCACUAGGAUGCCUGUAAGUUCUUUCACGCUAUUGACUUUGUAGGUAGGGACUUCCUCUCUUAGGAGAAUUAUGAUGUUAUAUCCUGCAAGGUAUACAUGUAAGUUAUUCCCUGCUAUUUUGCUAGCUAUUCCUUUUCCUUUGUGUUAUUAGUGGUAUUGAGUUUUGCUUCUACCAUGAAGGCCAACUGUUUCUCUUAUAUUUAGUGAAAUUCUUCUCUCUCACGUGGAUGUAGGAAUUUCUUCUCUCUGGCGUAGGCCGAUCUUAUUUCUAAUUGAUUCAUCGACUAGUAUCUAGUAUCUAUGAUCUAUUUCUGUGGUCGACCUUUUCUUCCCUUUAAUUGGCUGGAGAUUGUUGAUUUCUCCGGCGAAGGAGUGUUCUGAUAUGACAGGCCUGGUUUUUUCAGAAAAGUUAAAUAUUUGUGAUAUUUUCUUGCGUCAGCAUUUUCUUCCCAGAAGUUGCUGCAGAUUGUUAAUUAUUCUAGAGGAAGAUUUCUGAUCUGACAGGCCUGAAUUUUAUCGAUAAGAUUGUUAUCACACCAACCUCUUAUUAUGGUUACGAGGAUUUCUUUCUUUAUUACCAGGGUUAGCUUUUAGCGAAAAGAUGACGUGUUUUUACUGGAACUAUUGUCAGGUCGGUUCUAUCUCUGGAUCAAGGAUCGUAGAUACAAUUAAACCCUCUAUUCCCGAUACUGUUUUCAGUCCACCCGUCGUUCUAACUAUUUUCCCUAGGUCUUUCCAUUUGUUGAUUUUCAAUCAUUUCCUUCCGGAUGUCGGUUUUUUAUAUUAGGAUUAACUAACAGGAAGAGGGUAAUCUUGUUUUGGUUGUCUUGGAAGGUUGAGUUUUAUGUUGGCAUGAAGGGCAAUUUGGAAAAAGCAGGCCUUUGGUUAUGGCAGUAUCCAAAUUUAUUUUCUCCUAUUUUGUGGUAUUAAAUCAUGAUUAGGGUUAUAGGUAGGAGAUGACUUGUUCUUAUUUGCCUUAGGUUGCCUUGCUGUUAUAUAACGGAGGAGUGGGAGUACGGUUCAAUCCUGGAAACUCUAUGGAUAAACUACUGGAUAUAAAAAGAACAGGCUUAUCCGUCUAUCUUUCAAUUUGUUCACUUAGUAAUUUGAUUAUGAUUAGGAAAGUUUAUAGGUAAGCAGUGAUUGUGUUCUUAUUGGCGUAGGAUUAAUUUUUCCUUGGAUCGUGGAGUGGUCAAUGUCAAGCCUGGCUAGAUACUCAAUUGGGCUGAUGGGCAGAUGGAAAUAAAAACAGGCUUGUGGUUAUGGAUGUCUUUGGAUUUAUUCACCCUUGAUAUAUUUGUUUGUGUAUUGAUUAUGGUAAUAGCUAAGAUAUGAUGUGUUCUUAUUGACCUUGAUAGGAUAAUUUUUUCUUUGGAUUGUGGAGUGGUAAAUAUUCAACUCUGUCUGGACAAUCUAUUUGGCUAAUGGAUGGAUGAAAGUAUGAACUAUCUUCUGACUUCUGGUUAUGGGGUGUCUUAAUUUAUUCCCCAUUGAUAUUUUUGUCUUCGUGUUAUGAUUAAGAUUAAUACUUCAUAAGGUAGGUGAUGAUGUGUUCUUAUUUGCCUUGGUAGGAUGUAUAUUUUGUUGGAUUCUCGAGUGAAGAUAUGCCUUUUGCAGUUCCAAGACAGUUUUGGUGGUUGUGAUCUUCAAAUACAAUCAUUCUUGAGUUAAUCUUUUGUGUUAACUUACUUCCAUUAUAUUGUAAAAUAUAAUUUUCUCAUUGUGUUUGCUAGGAUGGCAGAUGCAUUCUCCUUCAACUGAAGUUAUCCGGUUUUGUUUUCCUGAUCUUCAAAUAGUCAUUGAGCUCAUUUUUUGUGUUAUUUCCCCACAAAUUAGUCUAUCAUGUAAAAUAUAUUUUUUCACUUGUGAUUUUAGGAUUGCUGAAUGAUAUGAACUCCAUGAGUGGAUCUAACAAUCUUUCAAUCAAAUUAUUCGGUUUGAUUACCGUCUUCAAAUAGUCCUUCAAAAUUCACAUUUUGUGUUAUAUCAUCAUUAAUUUAUGGUGUAAUAUAAUUUGCUCUCGUGUUUUUAGGCUGGCGGAUGCUAUCUCUAUAUGUCUAAACAAAUUAUCUGUUCUCGGUUGCCCUGGUCUUCAAAUAGAGCCUUCUUUUGUGUUAUUUCAUCAAGAUUAGUCGAUAUAAAUAGUGUUUUCUUGGUGGUACUAAUUUUGUUGUUCUCCUGUAUUCUGUCCUUGGAUGAUGGAGAACCUGAGAUAAAUAUUGGCUACUAGUCUUUUGAUAUCUUCCCAAUUUCAGCCUUUACAAUAUUCAUAUACUUAUGUUCCCAAUUUAAUUUACUACAUACAAUUUAAUUUUCCUUUCUAGAUGAUUUUAAUGACAUGUUGUCUCUUUGCUCCGCCAGUUAAACCUCUAUCUCGUGUAAUUUCUUCAUUUUACGAUGAUCAUCUUGGCUUGUGAAAAUUGAACCUUUUAAUCAGGGUUUUAUCUAUCAGAUAGAUCACAGUGCUUCUUCAAAAUUAUUUAAGUGACUAAAUUUUCAUGAUAUUUUGGAUCCAUUUUCAUGAUCUCUCAAAAUUUGGAUUUUCCCUCUUCUAUUUUGUACAGAUAAAGAGAGCUUAAUGGAGUUUUUCCUGCCUGGUUUGAACUACCUCUCUCUCUAUUAUCUUCACUUUAACUUGCCAAAUGUUUAAUCUUAGAGAGAGUACAUGAUAUUUUUGCUCACCUUGCAGUAUUAGGUCAUUAUUUGGGUAGUCUCACUAAUCUUUUGUAUUCGUUUAUCAUAUUUUAUAAAGAAAAAUUGGAUCAUUUUGUGUUUGUCUAGUAGAAUUUCUAUUGAUAAUAAAGACUUCCUCAUUGCAUAAUUUUGACAUUUUAGCUUGUAAGGGUACAACUAUAAGUUUUCCCUGUUGACGUUGUAGGAACUUUCUUCUUAGAAAGCUUUCCAUAUUCUAGCCUGCAAAAGCACCUGUAAGUUCUUACUGGUUAUUGAAAAGUCAUUUUCCCUUGUCUUAUAUUCUAAGGUAUUUUGAGGGGUGAAGAUGCAUUCUUGAUGAUCCCUGUAGAUUUACUCCCUUAAUGUUUUCCUGUAAUAGAAUGUUUCUUUAUUUUUGAAUGCUAGAGCGUACAUGCUCUUGCAGUUGGUUAUCACGUUGGUGUCAUCUUCAGCACGCCCACCCAUUGGUAAAUUUUAAAUUUGUUUUGAUAAGAACAUUAGAAUUGUAUUUUUGUACACCAAUUAUUUUGCCUUCAGGAGGUACCUUUUAAGUUCUUCCCUGCGCUGGACUUGUAAGAGCUUUCACUUUGGAUAAGUUUGAUCUAAUAGUCUGCUGCAAGUCCAUCCUUUUCUAUUGAUUCAUCGAGUAUUAUCUAUGAUCUAUUUCUAUCGUCGAUCUUUUCUUCUCUUAAGUGGCUGCAGAUUGUUGAUUACUCUGGCGGAAGAAGUUCGGAUCUGACAGGCCUGUUUUUAUCAGUUAAGUUUAGUCGGUUGUUCUAUCCCUGGAUCAAGGAUCGUAGAUACAAUUAAACCCUCUAUUCCCGAUACUGUUUUCAGUCCACCCGUCGUUCUAACUAUUUACCCUAGGUCUUUCCAUUUGUUGAUUUUCAAUUAUUUCUUUCCGAUCUCGUGCUCACGGUUUACCAAUAUGGGAAGGAAUAAUUUGCUUUUCUUGGCCUGGGUGGUGAAAAACUGGAGAUAAAUUCUUUAUUCUGGUAAUGGCGGACUUUGAGUGUAUUUUAUUUAGAUGUCGUUUUUUAUAUUAGGGUUAACGAACAGGAAGAGGAUAAUCUUGUUUUGGUUGUCUUGGAAGGUUGACUUUUAUGUUGGCAUGAAGGGCAAUUUGGAAAAAGCAGGCCUCUAGUUAUGGCAGUAUCCAAAUUUAUUCUAUCCUAUUUUGUGGUAUUAAAUUAUGAUUAGGGUUAUAGGCAGGAGAUGACUUGUUCUUAUUUGCCUUAGGUUGUCUUGCUGUUAUAUAACGGAGGAGUGGGAGUACUGUUCAAUCCUGGAUACUCUAUGGAUAAACAACUGGAUAUAAAAAGAACAGGCUUAUCCGUCUAUCUUUCAAUUUAUUCACUUAGUAAUUUAAUUAUGAUUAGGAAAGUUUAUAGGUAAGUGGUGAUUGUGUUCUUAUUGGCGUAGAUUAAUUUUUCCUUGAAUCGUGGAGUGGUCAAUGUCAAGCCUGGCUAGAUACUCAAUUGGGCUGAUGGGCGGAUAGAAAUAAAAACAGGCUUCUGGUUAUGGGUGUCUUUGGAUUUAUUCACCCUUAAUAUAUUUGUUUGUGUAUUGAUUAUGAUAAUAAAUACUUCUUAUCUAAGAUAUGAUGUGUUCUUAUUGACUUUGAUAGGUCGUGGAGUGGUGAAUAUUCAACCUGUCUGGACAAUUUAUUUGGCUAAUGGAGGGAUGAAAUAUAAACUAACUAUCUUCUGACUUCUGGUUUCGGGGUGUCUGUUAAUUUAUUCCCCAUUGAUUUAUUUGUUUAUGUGAUAUGACUAAGAAUAAUACCAUAAGGUAGGUGAUGAUGUGUUCUUAUUUGCCUUGGUAGGAUGUAUAUUUUCUUGGAUUCUCGAGUGGAGUUAUGCCUGUUGCAGUUCCAGUCAGUUUUGGUUAUUGUGAUCUUCAAAUACAUUCAUUCUUGAGUUCAUAUUUUGUGUUAACUUCAUCAUUAUAUUGUAAAAUAUAAUUUGGCUUCUAGUGUUGUUAGGAUGGUAGAUGGAAUCUCCUUCAAAUGAAGUUAUCCGGUUUUGGUUGCCCUGAUGAGUGGAUCUAACAAUCGUUCAACCAAAUUAGCUGGUUUGGUUACGGUUCUUGUAUGUUAUUCAUCAGUAAUUUAUUGUAAAAUAUAAUAUGCUCGUGUUUUGAUCUCUAUGUCUAUACAAAUUAUUUGUUCUCUGUUACCCUGGUCUUCAAAUAGAGCCUUCCUUUGUGUUAUUUCAUUACAAAGAUUUAUUUCCUAGUGGUACAAUUCUUGUUGUCCUUCUUAGGAUGUCUUUUUCUGUCCUUGGAUGAUGGAGAACCUGGGAUAAAUUUUGGCUACUAGUCUCUUGAUAUCUUGCCGAUUUCAGCCUUUACUACAUUCAUAUGUAUGUUCCCAAUUUAAUUUACUACAGACAUAUGCGGAUGUUUAUUUAUCCUAAUUUUCCAUUGGAGAUGUUUUUGAAAGCUUAAGGUACGACAUGUUUUGUGUCUUUCUUCCGUCAGUUACACAUUUUUCUCAUGUCUUUUCUGCAUAUUACGAUGAUCAACCUUUUUAUUAGGAUUCUUUCUAUUAGAUCAUUUAAGUGACUAAUUUUUCAUGAUGUUUUGGAUCCAUUUCACGAUCUCUCUCAAAAGUUGGAUAUUCUCUCUUCUAUUUUUGUACAGAUAUAGAGAGCUUAUUGGAGUAUUUCUUGCCUGGUUUGAACUACCUCUUUUUAUUGACUUCCCUUUAACUUGUGAAAUGUUUAUUAUUAGGGAGGCAGUACAUAUGAUAUUUUUGCUCAUCUUCCAGUUGUAGGUGGUUAUUUGGGUAGUCUCACUAAUCUUUGGUAUUUGUUUUAUCACAUUUUCUAAAUUUUAUUUUGGUCAUUUUUGUGUUUUGUCUCAUAGAAUUUCAAUUGAUAAUAACUUUGUAAGUACUUUCUCAUUGCAUAAGUUUUUCCUUUUGUUGAAGUUGUAGGAACUUUCUUGUUAGAAAGUUUUCAAUAUUCUAGUCUGCAAAAGCACCUGUAAGUUCUCACUUAUUAUUGAAAAUCCAUUUCCCUUUGUUUCUUUGUCUAAUAUUUUAAAGUAGUUUGAGAGUAAAGAUGCAUUCUUAAUGAUCUCUUUAGUUUUGCUUCCUUAAUCUUUUUCUUUUUGGAUGUUUGGUGUACAUGCUCCUGCAGUUGCUUAUCAUGAUGGUGUCAUCUCCAACACUUCCACCCAUUUCUGGAUUCCAAUUUUUUUUAUAAGUGACAUUGGAAUUAUAUUUUUGUUCACCAAUUAUUUUGCCUUCAAGAGAUAACCUUUUAAGUUCUUUCAUGCGUUUGACUUAUAAAAUCUCUCUCCCUGGAUAAGUUUGAUGUUAUAGUCUACUGCAAAUCCAUCAUUUUCAUCUUGCGUUGUUCUAAGGUAAUUUGAGGGAUAAUACUCUUUGGUUUGGCCUAAUUCCACCUAGGAAUGCUUCUUGUUUAUAUUUUUGGACAAUCUGGUGGAUGCCAUUGCACUUGGUUACUACAGAUGGUAUCGUUUUUGUUGACAGUGACUCUUGGCUUUUGAUGUUGAUAUUGCAUUUGUCUGCUCCAGUUACUUUGCCUUCAAGAAGAAACUCCUCCUAUAUUUACGUCACAGAAAAUCAACAUUGAUAAUAUAUAGCAUUGGAUAACUAUGAUAAUAUAGCCUCUGAUGUUGCAUUUGAUACUACUACAGCCUGGUGUAGUAAGUUAAAGUCCCUUUCGCUUGUGUUGAAGGAUAGCUGCCCAGCUUUCAUGUUUAUUGAGUGUUAUGUUCCUUCAUGCUUUGGAGCUAGCUCCUGUCCCCUUGUAUCUUUGUCUAGUCUCUCUGGUAGAUUCCUUUGCAGUUGGUUAUCAUGGAUGGGGUCAUCUACAUCUUCUUUGGCUUGAAAGUUCUUACCAUUUAUUGGAAUAUUUCUCAAUUUUUGGACAACUGGUAGAUGCCUUUGCAGUUGGUUAUCAUAGAUGGGGUCAUCUAUAUCAUGGUGGUUCUUCACUUUGAUUUUCUUUUUAUGAUUUUGUGGACAACAUACAUUGCACUAGGGUACCUGUAAGUUCUUUCACGCAAUUGACAUUCACAAAUUGGUUCAUACUUUCUCUCUUAGACUUUGAUGUUAUAGCCCGCCACGUAUACUCUGAUAAAUUCUUCCCUGCUGUUUAGCUAGUUAUUGUCCCUUUUUCCUUUCUAUUCUAUGCGUUAUUCUAGGGCAAUUUGAGGGAAGGACUUCGAAUGCUUGGUGUGUGGUUUGAUCCCUAAUCUUUUACCUUUACUGGAACGCUUCUUGAUGUCCAUGCAAUUGGUUGGAUUGUGUCAUCUUUAUGUUGUCAAUUCCCUACUUUCAUAAGUUUGAUCUAGUUGGCAACAUUGAUAUUCCAUUUGUGCACAUGCUAUAUUGACCAUCUUGAACUCUAGGUGGUAUGGAUAAGGUUUUGCCUUAAUUUGAAUUCAUGAAGUCUUUGGCUCAAUAAUGCUUUUUUGAUAAACGCACACAGUUGUCUUUUUGAAUUACGGUGGCAGCUUGAUUAUUUUCUAUAAUUGUGCUUACAACUCAACGGUGCUAAUAUAUAUGGUUAGAACUUCACGAAUUAAUUGGUUUAUUUUCAAGUUGUGGAUGGUCUCUUACUAAUUUAAUGGUACACAUUUUUCUUUCAAGUAUGCUAGUCAAAUUUCCAGUCCAAUACUUUCAGCAAAAAGUAGUGGCCUUUUGACCUAGUUUACUGGUGCUUUCAAGUGUCUUCAGUACUAUCAGCAAAAAGUAUAAAAUUGUCAUUUAUGGUUUAUGGUAUCAAUCUAGACGACUUGCGGAAGCUUCCAUGAAACUCGUUUUGCAUUUUACUAUUUGGCUUUUGGGGAGGAGAAGUGGAAGGAAAUAUGUUCUAAGGAUGCAUUUAACUGAAUUGCCUGGGAAAUGUCAUAUUUCACAAUGAUAUAUUAGGACUCUGUCUUGAUGGUGUGCUUUAAUGAGUUAUCUCAUUCAAAAUACUAGGACUGCAACAGUGUUAUGUUCUUGCUGGGAAAUAUUCUGCUAUUUUUGGAAAAAAUUAUGACCAAUUAGUGAAUGUGGUAAGAGGUGUUAGAAGCUCCUUUGUAUCAUGUGACUUGCGAUGAUAUGAUAUACCAAGUGCAAAUGCUCUAGAGCUCCAUGGAACCCCUGAUUUGCUUAAUUCUGCUGCUCUUAUUUUGCUUCUUUUGGGGAGGGGAGGAGGGAAUAUGUCUAAGAAUACAUUUUACCAUUCAUGGAUGUUAUUUAACUGAAUUCUCCCAGGGAAAUGUCAUAUUCCACAAUGAUAGACAUUUAGCUCUUUGUCAUGAUGGUGCUUCAAAUGAAUUUUCUCAUUCAUGGUCUGCAAGUGUGUUAUUGAUGUUCUGUUUGAUAUGAACCUGAAUGGGUAGGUGUUAGAAGCUCCUUUAAUGUCUGCUGCUGGGAAAUUGUCUUGCACUCGUUUGUUAAUGCAUAAUGUGUCCAGAAUAAAUGCAUAAGAGAGUUUAUUGUGUUUGGUAGAAGAAAUUCUGCUAGCGGCUUAUGUUGGAGUUUUCUUUGAUAUAUGAUGAAACUCAUUUGUUAUACUCUUUGUUUGUCAUCACAAAAUGUUGGACUUUGAGAAUUGGCUUAGUUUUUUAUUUA